UGGGGAAUUUUGGACAAUGGGCGAAAGCCUGAUCCAGCAAUGCCGCGUGUGUGAAGAAGGCCUUCGGGUUGUAAAGCACUUUUGUCCGGAAAGAAAUCCUUGGCUCUAAUACAGUCGGGGGAUGACGGUACCGGAAGAAUAAGCACCGGCUAACUACGUGCCAGCAGCCGCGGUAAUACGUAGGGUGCAAGCGUUAAUCGGAAUUACUGGGCGUAAAGCGUGCGCAGGCGGUUUGCUAAGACCGAUGUGAAAUCCCCGGGCUCAACCUGGGAACUGCAUUGGUGACUGGCAGGCUAGAGUAUGGCAGAGGGGGGUAGAAUUCCACGUGUAGCAGUGAAAUGCGUAGAGAUGUGGAGGAAUACCGAUGGCGAAGGCAGCCCCCUGGGCCAAAUACUGACGCUCAUGCACGAAAGCGUGGGGAGCAAACAGGAUUAGAUACCCUGGUAGUCCACGCCCUAAACGAUGUCAACUAGUUGUUGGGGGAUUCAUUUCCUUAGUAACGUAGCUAACGCGUGAAGUUGACCGCCUGGGGAGUACGGUCGCAAGAUUAAAACUUAAAUGAAUUGACGGGGUCAUAGCUGUUUCCU
rnacentral:rRNA from 1 species